UGUUCUACACCAACCCAGAGUACAGAUGUCGGAUCAUAAUUUGAUCACCCUGCAAUGCGGGACAUUUUAAAAUGUGUCGUGUAUUUGAGGUUUAAAAAGGCUUCUGAAGUUUUUAAUUUCCACGUUGAAAUUUCAGACUUGAUUUUCCCUUACGGAAAAUGUAUCGACCCCUACAAAAAUAGCCACGAAUUAUAAUCCACAAAAUCAUUCAAAUUUCCUGUUGCUACAGGUUUCUUUUCCUGCUGUAGCAAACUGGCUCAAAUUAAGAUCCUACAUCUGUAAUGUGUGGUGUAGUUCUGUGGCCCACAUUGUAACAGUACAGAAGAACAUCGGCUUGCUAUUUGGUGAGAUUUGUCAGUUGGAUUUGACAGUUGGAAAGUGCUGGUCAAAGAGCGCGUCGAGCUGUCACGCCCCAGCGCCACCAGGGAGGGGCUCUCCUCGCCCACCUGGCCUAGCUCGCCUAGCUGGCCGUUACCCACAAGGCACCUGGACAGGAGAGGGACCCGCAGGCAGGAGGGCCAGAGGGGGAAGAGUGAAGGAGUGUCAGCUUGACUCACUGGGAAGAUUCUCUGUGGAGCCUGACAUCUUGAUCCGCAACAGAGACUAAAUGAUAACCGUUUCCUUGUAAAUACUCUACCCUGCGGGGGAAGAGUUUAAAUAGACCAACUAGUUUUCUC